rnacentral:rRNA from 1 species
AUUGAACGCUGGCGGCAGGCCUAACACAUGCAAGUCGAACGAAGUCUUCGGACUUAGUGGCGGACGGGUGAGUAACACGUGGGAACGUGCCUUUAGGUUCGGAAUAACUCAGGGAAACUUGUGCUAAUACCGAAUGUGCCCUUCGGGGGAAAGAUUUAUCGCCUUUAGAGCGGCCCGCGUAUGAUUAGCUAGUUGGUGAGGUAAAGGCUCACCAAGGCUACGAUCAGUAGCUGGUCUGAGAGGAUGACCAGCCACAUUGGGACUGAGACACGGCCCAAACUCCUACGGGAGGCAGCAGUGGGGAGUCUUGCGCAAUGGGCGAAAGCCUGACGCGGCCAUGCCGCGUGGAUGAUGAAGGUCUUAGGAUUAUAAAAUCCUUUCACCGGUGAAGAUAAUGACUGUAGCCGGAGAAGAAGCCCCGGCUAACUUCGUGCCAGCCGCCGCUGUAACAC